rnacentral:rRNA from 1 species
UGGGGAAUAUUGGACAAUGGGGGCAACCCUGAUCCAGCCAUGCCGCGUGAGUGAUGAAGGCCUUAGGGUUGUAAAGCUCUUUCGCCGGUGAAGAUAAUGACGGUAUACGGAGAAGAAGCCCCGGCUAACUUCGUGCCAGCAGCCGCGGUAAUACGAAGGGGGCUAGCGUUGUUCGGAAUUACUGGGCGUAAAGCGCACGUAGGCGGAUUAUUAAGUCAGGGGUUAAAUCCCGGAGCUCAACUCCGGAACUGCCUUUGAUACUGGUAAUCUAGAGACCGAGAGAGGUAAGUGGAACUCCUAGUGUAGAGGUGGAAUUCGUAGAUAUUAGGAAGAACACCAGUGGCGAAGGCGGCUUACUGGCUCGGAACUGACGCUGAGGUGCGAAAGCGUGGGGAGCAAACAGGAUUAGAUACCCGCGUAGUCC